AGCAGCCGCGGUAAUUCCAGCUCCAAUAGCGUAUAUUAAAGUUGUUGCAGUUAAAAAGCUCGUAGUUGAAUUUCGGGGUUAGUAGGUUGGUCAUGCCUCUGGUAUGUACUGAUCUCACUGAUUCCUCCUUCCUUAUGAACCGUAAUGCCAUUAAUUUGGUGUUGCGGGGAAUUUGGACUGUUACUUUGAAAAAUUAGAGUGUUUAAAGCAGGCUAACGCUUGAAUACAUUAGCAUGGAAUAAUGAAAUAGGACGUUCGAUCUUAUUUUGUUGGUUUCUAGGAUUGACGUAAUGAUUAAUAGGGAUAGUUGGGGGCAUUAGUAUUCAAUUGUCAGAGGUGAAAUUCUUGGAUUUAUUGAAGACUAACUACUGCGAAAGCAUUUGCCAAGGAUGUUUUCAUUAAUCAAGAACGAAAGUUAGGGGAUCGAAGACGAUCAGAUACCGUCGUAGU
rnacentral:rRNA from 1 species